UAUGGCCACAUCACGUUGAAACACCGGUUCACGUAUGAUCACCGCUGUUAAGUAAAAUCGAGCCUGCUCAGUACCUUGAUGUGUGACUCUUGGAAAUAUCAGGUGCUGUAA